CUCUCUCUCUCUCUUCGAAGCUCGAUGGUGACGCGUAAUAAGGCGCGACGGCAAACCUAGCUCGAUGGUGGCUGGACAGCGGAGGAGCGCCACGGCUCCUCUUCUUCCUCGC